rnacentral:lncRNA from 1 species
AUCCAACCCAUCCUGCCUACUUAAAAAAAAAGAAAAAAGAAAAAAAAGGGAAAUAAAAUGCCUAAACCUAAUCACUUUAGUCCAGAAAGCCCAAAAAUCUCUCUGUUUCUAUCUCGUUCUCUCACUCUCGCUCGAUAACAGCGGCCUUCAUUUUUUAGCCGCUCCAAGUCGGUCACAGGACAUCGAGCACUAGGAAACCCACAAGCCAGUGGGGAGAUCUUCUUUGGCUUUGUUUGGUGAAAAUGCAAUCUCAAAUUUUGUCCUUCUUCAAGAUCUGGUAAUGAGUUAAAUUUGAUGUUAAUAUACAAUAAUAAAACUUGUAGUUCCACUAUUGUCUUCUCUAGUUCCUUCGCCUAGCUCUCUGCCUACAUUUUUGUUUAAUGGACACUCAUUAUGUAUGAAAAAGUUUAUAAGACCUGGAAGCCUGGUUGGAAUUAAAUUUUGUAUUUAGGAAGUCAGGAACCACCACUUCCAGCAUUUAAUUGAAGCUUCUAAACUCCUAAAUUAGAGCAAUAUCUCUAUUGCUAAAUUUCUCUUGAUUCUAACCUACGAAUUCAGUACGUUUUUCAUAUUAAUACAAUUAUUAUUAUUUGUGUAUAUGGUUGAAUAAAAUGAUUUCUAUCCCAUUUCUAUAAUUUUAGAUGUAGAGAUGUGUGAAGAAAACAACAUAGCGGCACCAUCAAUCCAUAUUAUCAACAUGUUUUUCCUCUAGAAAUGCAAUGUUUUUCCUCCAGAAAUGCACUCCAUCUUGAGUGGGAGCUUUUCCUUUGUUGUUUAAUAUUAGUCGACUGCUCCGAAAUCAUGUGUAAUUUUGUAAAUCAUUGCUAUGAUUUUUGUUAUUUAUCAACUAGGAAACUCACUGGAAGCAUUGUUUUGUUUGUUUUGCUAUAUUUUCCCUUCCUUUCAAGUGAUUUAUAUCUAACUCUUUCUUGUUGUUUUAUUGGGGUGAAUAUAAUUUGCUUCUUGCACCAUGAUCAACUUAAAGCAUUUUUCCAUGUCUCUCAGAAAUUAAGAAAGGCAGUAAGUUGUACACUUGCCCCUCCCCCCAGUUUUUUUAUGCACGUGAACAGAGUAUCUAAUCCUUGUUUGAUUGUAAUAGGUUAUUAUUGCAAGCAGUCACACUUUAAUUACACCAUACCUGAUCGUACUCAACAAGAGAUGCUGAAGUUAAUGACUCUCCAGCCCAUUGAUCACUGGCUUUUUGUAAGGUAAGCAUUUUAAUAUCUUCCAUUUCUUGAAUCAUACAAGCAUAUCAAAUUUGUUGCAAUUAGUUAUUUGGAUGACGUGUUGGUUUUGUUUGAAUAUAUGGUAAUAAAUUACACUUUUCCCAAAUUGACCAACCUAACCUAACCCUACCGACACUUGAUUUGGUUAGGUUGGGUUGGGUUUCAAUAUUUACCUGGGUUGGGUUGGUUGAUUUUAUAUCAAAUUGACCAUGGUGGGUUGGUUUUGGAUUGGGGUAAAAAUCGACCCAACCCAACCCAUGCCCACCUCUAGCCAUGCACAUUGAUGAAUGUCUUUUACUUACGAGUUGAAGUCAAUUUUUUGAGAUGGUAAAAUACACGAAAGAGGUCAUCAAUUAAAGCUAUUGGCAUGAAUCGAAAAGAAAUUGUGGAUAAAGGGCAAAAUUGUUGGAUGAGUAGAGCCCCAGUGCCGAAACACUGAUGCUAAGGCGCCACAAAAAAGUGAGAAAAACACAUUUAGGGUGCUGGGAUGCUAUAGAAAAUACAGAGCCUUGGUGCCUAGCUCAUUGCAUUGGGCAUCGCGACGCCGUCGAAUAACGCAACUAGGGCGCAUUUUUUGCCCAUUUAAAGUCCAUGAAAAAACCUACUCUCUAGACACAUGGGAAUUUUCUCACACUUUUGAAUGAUUCCACACAUUGAGAGGCGAGAUACACACUUUGAGAUUAAAGAGAAGCAAUUCAAGGGAAGAAAACAACAAGCAAUUCAACGUUUGAAGCAUUAAUUGGAAGAGAAAGAAGAUCUUGGUAGAAUAUUGAUAUUUUUUCUUCUAUAUCUUUACUACAAAUUCGGUGAUGUAUUCUAUGACGAUUUAUUGCUUUCCCUCUUUCCUUAUGAAUAGCUAAAUCUCUUGUUAGAGCGAAUAAUAUAACCCAGUUGGGAUCCUUUAUGUCGUUUAAUUUAGAUUAUUGUUCUUUAUUUUUUUCAUGUGUUGAUAUUACUAUAAAUUCAAUGCCUUAAUUACUUCAUCACUAAUUUGACGAGUUAGUGAAUCAUUUACGAAUUGAAAUGUGAGUUUAGAAUUUAGACCAUAUAGUAAAAUUCAAUAAAUUGGUAUAACGUGUAGAGAUAACUAUACUAAUUAUUG